rnacentral:rRNA from 1 species
GUGGAUUAGAUACCCUGGUAGUCCACGCCGUAAACGAUGAAUGCUAGCCGUUGGGCAGCUUGCUGUUCAGUGGCGCAGCUAACGCAUUAAGCAUUCCGCCUGGGGAGUACGGCCGUAAGGUUGAAACUCAAAGGAAUUGACGGGGGCCCGCACAAGCGGUGGAGCAUGUGGUUUAAUUCGACGCAACGCGCAGAACCUUACCAGGGUUUGACAUCCUGCGACCGCCCUCUAAUAGGGGUUUUCCCGCAAGGGACGCAGAGACAGGUGCUGCAUGGUCGUCGACAACU